CAGUCGCCGCGGUAAUACGGAGGGGGCUAGCGUUGUUCGGAAUUACUGGGCGUAAAGCGCACGUAGGCGGCUUGGUAAGUUAGAGGUGAAAGCCCGGAGCUCAACUCCGGAAUUGCCUUUAAGACUGCCGAGCUAGUAGGUGAGAGAGGUAAGUGGAAUUCCGAGUGUAGAGGUGAAAUUCGUAGAUAUUCGGAAGAACACCAGUGGCGAAGGCGGCUUACUGGCUCAUUCUAGACGCUGAGGUGCGAAAGCGUGGGGAGCAAACAGGAUUAGAGACCCCAGUAGUCCCUGUCUCUUAUAC
rnacentral:rRNA from 1 species